GCCCUAUCCUCAUCAAAAAAGAGAGAUCAUAACAUAAUCAGAGAAGAAGAAAAAAAAUACGAUUAGGGAAGAAGAAAGAAUCAUCAUUUUGCUACAUCAAUAAUUUUUUAAAAAAUUUUAAUGCCACAUAAGCGCCGUGGUUACCACAUUGAACUUUUGGUGAAAGAAAGUCACUAGAAUUAUGCCUUUGGGCAAUAUUAAAUCAGUUCAGAGACUAAACUUUAGCUUUUUGUAGUUUAG
rnacentral:lncRNA from 1 species